rnacentral:rRNA from 1 species
AUUGAACGCUGGCGGCAUGCCUUACACAUGCAAGUCGAACGGCAGCACGGGUGCUUGCACCUGGUGGCGAGUGGCGAACGGGUGAGUAAUACAUCGGAGCAUGUCCUGUAGUGGGGGAUAGCCCGGCGAAAGCCGGAUUAAUACCGCAUACGAUCUACGGAUGAAAGCGGGGGACCUUCGGGCCUCGCGCUAUAGGGUUGGCCGAUGGCUGAUUAGCUAGUUGGUGGGGUAAAGGCCUACCAAGGCGACGAUCAGUAGCUGGUCUGAGAGGACGACCAGCCACACUGGGACUGAGACACGGCCCAGACUCCUACGGGAGGCAGCAGUGGGGAAUUUUGGACAAUGGGCGAAAGCCUGAUCCAGCAAUGCCGCGUGUGUGAAGAGGGCCUUCGGGUUGUAAAGCACUUUUGUCCGGAAAGAAAUCCUUGGCCCUAAUACGGUCGGGGGAUGACGGUACCGGAAGAAUAAGCACCGGCUAACUACGUG